AAAAAGAGAAAGUGUGAGAGGGGCUAACUAAGACUGAAGGAAUAGGGAUGUCCUCCUAAGGCAGCAGAACUACAACUGCAGCUUGCAGGAGCUCCUGUUGUGGCUCAGUGGGUUAAGAACCUGACCAGUAUCCAUAAGGAUGCAGGUUCUAUCCCUGGCCUCACUCAGUGGGUUAAGAAUCCGGCAUUGCUACAAUCUGCAGUGCAGGUCGCAGAUGUGGCUCAGAUCCUGUAUUGUGGCUGUGGCACAGGCCUAAAGUUGCAGCUCCAAUUCAACCGCUAGCCUGAAAACUUCCAUAUGCGGCAGGUAUGGCCCUAAAAAGAAAAACAAAAAGCAAAAAACAAACAAACAAACAAAACCUGCAGCCUGCAAAUGACCACAAGUCAGCCAUUGGGAGGAUGGAGGAGGAGAGACUGUCAAGGACAGAAAAGAGGCUGAUGAAUCUGAAAGCUAAGGGGCCAAUGGAUCAGGAGCAAGACGAAGGCAACUUAAGAUGAGGUGGGAGACAUGGUCACGUGCUGGGUCAUGGUGGGCUUUGCCAACUUUGUCAUAGGUUUGACUUAUUCUUUAAAGUAUAAAUGGGGACCAUGAAAGGGUGUUCAGAUCACAGUAAUAUUUUAUGAUUUAUACUUUUUAAAAGGCACUCUGACUUUUAUGUAAAUAAUCAACUGGAGGGUCCAAGAGUGAGAUGAGGACUGUUGCUAGGUUUCCACAAUCAUCCAGGUGACAAACAAUGGUGGCGUAGAAUCAAAUAGUGACAACAGAGAGGGACACACUUGGGUGGAGCUAACUUUUAAUUGGGGGGUACAAUCAACAUCUAUUCAUCUCUUUGAACCUUUUAUUGUCCUUUUAACAAAGGAUCAAAUAGUAGUUGCUCAGCCAAUUCCAUAGGAUUUUGGUGAGGACCCAAUGAGACAGAAGUGUAAUUUUUUUAUGGAUGAGAUAUAUAUUAUUACUGUGUAUUGUGACUAUAGGCUAUCUACUUCCAGUUGGUUUAAAACCUCAACCUAUAAGAGAAAACCAGUCUAACCAAAGCAGAACAGUGGGAGAUGUGUCCACACAUUUGUUAUUUUACUUGCCCAGGAACCUCACAGAAGUGGGAACAGAGAUGUCCAAAGGGCAUAUCUAGGCUCCACUCUACCUGGACCUACACCAUUCAAUGGAAUAAACAGGUCUAAAGGAGGCUUAGACAAGCUCUGAGGCCCCUAAAGCCCCACUAGCUACGGAGCCUCCAUCUAUAGUGCCCUAAAUUACAUCAUAAGGGCCCACAGGAGUUCUCUCAACACCUAAUUUACUGUUAGAGAGUGCCUUGAGCAAAAGUGACCCAUAAAGCUGCCAUUUAGCAUGACCAUUCCUUAAGAAUUUCAGAAACAAAAUAAUGCCUUAAGAGAUCAACUAACUCUGAGUAUGAAAUAUGUUUUCUGUGGCAUGAUACAGUUGUGUCUAUAUACAGAGCAAAACAUCACUUGAAAUGUGGACUCCUGAGUUCCCUGGUGGCUCAGAGGGUUAAGGACCUGGCAUUGUCACUGCUGUGGCACUGGUUCCAUCCCUGGCCCAGGAACUGCUGCAUGCCACAGAUGUAUAUAUAACAAAAUGUGGACUCCUCGGAGGAAAGAUUAAACCUUUCAAAGCCCAAAGAAUUCACAAAUUCACGUUUAUUUUGAAAAUGCAUUUCAUGCUUUUCUUGUAUUAGAAAACAGAGUAUGUUGGGUAUAAUUUGCUUAAUUUAAAAAAUUAUGUUGGUACAAUGUCAUUGUGCUUUUGAUAUUAUCCUUCUAGAUUUCAUUGGCUAAAUCAUCUGUCUUCUCAUAGGUAAAACAAGGCUCUUUAACUAACAGGGGUUUGCAAAGUCUCUGUGGUAAGGAAUCAAUUUUGGGGUUUUUCGUCUGUUUAAUUCUCAAAUGUCCAAUCAAUUCAGGCCAUUAAAUUGCCCUAGAGCAAGGGACUAGUAGCUCAUACUACGAGGUGCCUCGCCAGGUGAGUUUGAAACCACUGCAAUGGUUGAUACCCUGUUCAAGCACUGACCUGAAUGUCCCACAAAAUGGAACAGCCGUCAAAGUGUUACAGUGGUUCCUCUCAGUUUCAAUAUUUAUAUUCUCACGCAUGUGUAAUAAACAGUUCUAAAGCACUGAUCUGUAGAAAACAUCAGGUAUGGCCCAGAGCUAGAUGAUGCCUAAGAUCCAUCCGACCCAAAGGGUCUGGAAUGUAUGACCUUGAUGAGAAUCAUUUAUUUCACAGACACUUUAAUAGAGUUACUAAGAGAUGUUAGCUCCCUAAGAAACGUUGGGUCCCCUGUGGUUUCUGAGUGUGCUUUUCUAAGAUUCUUUUGAGUUCUCUUGAGGCCGUUGCUUGAGUCCAAAAAGAUCUGGUCUUCUGGGCUAUUCUAUUAGGAUUUCCUUCUUGUGGCCUCACACUUCUGUUCUUGCUUCUGCCCUCCGGGUUCACAACAGGUUUGACUGCUUCAACAUUGGCCACCAAUCCUACUUGCUGUCUCUGGCCCCGCUCUUGGCUCUUUGCCUGAUAUAAAACCUAGGUCUUAAGUUCUCUGGCCAACCCCAUUCCUUUCCUAUGAAAAUGCACAGGCUAUGAGACAAUUCUUCCUCUGGCUUAAAGACUGUGCCCCCUUAUCUCAUGCUAAUUUUAGCUUCACAAUUGUCUUGAAAGAUCCAAACUUCCAACAGCUAGAUAAAGGGUUCAUUAUUCUCACAUUUCUUUGAACAAUGAACAACCAAAAAAUCAGAUAAGAGAGCAAUUUCUGAACAGUCUUCUAAAUGUUAAAAUCUAAUUUUGAAAUUUGUUAAAAUGAUAAAAUAUUUUAAAAUAUUUCUCAACCUUCAAAGUGUUCAUCUUAGGAAGCAGCCACAUUUGCUUUUUUUUUUUUUUAAAGAAAAUAGGGAGUUCCCGUCGUGGCGCAGUAGUUAACGAAUCCGACUAGGAACCAUGAGGUUGCGGGUUCAAUCCCUGUCCUUGCUCAGGGGUUAAGGAUCCAGGGUUACCGUGAGCUGUGGU
rnacentral:lncRNA from 1 species